UACGGAGGGUGCAAGCGUUAUCCGGAUUCACUGGGUUUAAAGGGUGCGUAGGUGGGCAGGUAAGUCAGUGGUGAAAUCUCCGGGCUUAACUCGGAAACUGCCAUUGAUACUAUCUGUCUUGAAUACCGUGGAGGUCAGCGGAAUAUGUCAUGUAACGGUGAAAUGCUUAGAUAUGACAUAGAACACCAAUUGCGAAGGCAGCUGGCUACACGAAUAUUGACACUGAUGCACGAAAGCGUGGGGAUCAAACAGG
rnacentral:rRNA from 1 species